GUUGCCCAGUAGAUACAACCCAAGAGGGGGGGUGAAUUGGGUCUUUUAAAACUUUUAGGCUACUUCUAACACUUUUCAAUUAAUUACGCUAAGUUGUAUAGAUGCACAGUGGAAUUUAAACUUAGCAACAGUUUGAUUUAUUGAAUGAGACUUGAUUAAGUAAAUUGAAUAUGCUUGCAACUAAAGGAUGCGCGGAUAAGAGUUAAGCAAGCAAUUUAUCUAAGUAAGUAAGUGAGCAAGUUAGACAAUGACAAAAAGACAUCACAAACACAAUAAACAUAUAGUGGUUCGGUGCACCCCAGCACCUACAUCCACUCCCCAAGACCUCUUGGGAAUUUCACUAUAAUCCUCCAGAUUACAGCCGGUUGUUUUACAAGCUCACAACCCAACUUGUUGUUUUGCGAGAUCACAACAAACUCAGUCGGUUUUCACAGGCUCACCGACUAGAACCAACCGAUUAUUUUCACGGGCUCACAAUCCAACCCAGUUGGUUUUCCCAAAGGCUCACCAACCACAACCUUACAACGAUUGUUUUCCGGGUUCACAAUCAACCCAGUUGGUUUUCCCCAAAGGCUCACC
rnacentral:lncRNA from 1 species